rnacentral:rRNA from 1 species
UUUUAUUUGAGAGUUUGAUCCUGGCUCAGGAUGAACGCUGGCGGCGUGCCUAACACAUGCAAGUUGAGCGAUUUACUUCGGUAAAGAGCGGCGGACGGGUGAGUAACGCGUGGGUAACCUACCCUGUACACACGGAUAACAUACCGAAAGGUAUGCUAAUACGGGAUAAUAUAUUUGAGAGGCAUCUCUUGAAUAUCAAAGGUGAGCCAGUACAGGAUGGACCCGCGUCUGAUUAGCUAGUUGGUAAGGUAACGGCUUACCAAGGCGACGAUCAGUAGCCGACCUGAGAGGGUGAUCGGCCACAUUGGAACUGAGACACGGUCCAAACUCCUACGGGAGGCAGCAGUGGGGAAU